ensembl:lncRNA
UGUGUUUUGAUGGGUUUCACUUUAUUCUUUGAUAAUUUUUCAUUUGUAUCCUGCAAUGACAUUUCAUUCGGGUCUCUGCCUGACUGCACAUUUUAUUCUGGAGCUUGAUUUCACGCUAUUACUGCAUACAUCAGUGGCUCCCGAGAUUCAGUAACUUGGUCUUGCUCCUUAGCAAAUAGAUAUGUCUGUGGUGUGCUUUCUUGUAGAUACUUUUACAAGCCAUUUCCCCAUUGUUCAAGCUCAUGAGUAUUCCUCCAGCAUGGCCUUUUUUUUCUAUAGCAAAAAACAACAGCAGUGAAACUGAGAUUCAGUAACAACUAACCAAUUUGUCUGAGGCAUCUCUGGACUAUUAGAAAUCCCUGUGUCUCUGCCUGCUUCUUCUAUUUUGAGGCAGAAUGGAGAAAACCAAAGAUGAGAGGAAAUGUACUUGCUGCUCAUCGAACUUAAUUAAAAUCCAGGAACGGGGAAGGGAAUUCAGACAGACUGUAGGCUUUUAACACUGGAGAUUUUAAAAAACAAACAACUGAUAUUGAUGCUAGCUGAGAACAACAGGGAUAGAGAGGGUUUAGAUGAUUUUGCAAAGUCUCUUUAAACUCUGUUAUUUGCUGAUCCUAUUUGUUGCUGAGACUGGGAUAGAGGGUUGAAGCUGCUGGUUGAAGUGAGGUGGGCUGUCAAAAUUUCUGGAUCCCUAGUUCUAGCCCUGCCACUGGUCCAGAUCAUGAUCCAAGUGCUCUGUGCCUCAGUUUACCUGCUGGUAAAGUGGAAUGCUCCUUCUUUGUGACACAAAGAAUUGGGGUCCAAAAUUCCAUCGCUUCUUUUGAAGUGGAGACUCUGAAAAGGAGUGCUUGCUGUACAAAUUUCUGGCUAUUGUGUCAUGACUGUUUGGAGGAGUGUAAGCAGAGCAUGGAAAAGAGCGUGGAUCUAAACAGAGAAAAUGCACAUAAGGAGCCUGGGCAGACCCGCCUUCAUGUGAAAGGCUGGAGAAAGCUUGGAGAUAACAACAUAGAGCUGUAA